rnacentral:tRNA from 1 species
ACCGCGAUAGCUCAUCUGGUAGAGCAUCUGCUCGGUAUGCGGGGAAUCGCCAGUUCGACUCCGGCUCGCGGCG